UCUGUCAGUGAUGAUUAUGUUAAUUCACUAAAUUGAAAAAUAAUUUAAUGAAAAUUGUAUACAUGCACCACCAUCUGAGACAGA
rnacentral:snoRNA from 1 species